AACGAACGCUGGCGGCGCGCCUAACACAUGCAAGUCGAACGAGAAGGCGUAGCAAUACGCUUGUAGAGUGGCGAACGGGUGGGUAAUACGUGGGUGACCUACCCUCGAGUGGGGAAUAACCCGCUGAAAGGCGGGCUAAUGCCGCGUACGCUUCCGUCCUCACGGGGACGGAAGGAAAGCUGUACCGUGGGUACGGCGCUCAAGGAUGGGCUCACGUCCUAUCAGCUUGUUGGUAGGGUAACGGCCUACCAAGGCUACGACGGGUAGCUGGUCUGAGAGGGUGACCGGCCACACUGGGACUGAGACACGGCCCAGACUCCUACGGGAGGCAGCAGUGGGGAAUCUUGCGCAAUGGGCGAAAGCCUGACGCAGCGACGCCGCGUGAGGGAUGACGGCCUC
rnacentral:rRNA from 1 species